UAACGCGUGGGCAACCUGCCCUUAAGCCUGGGAUACCAUUUGGAAACAGAUGCUAAUACCGGAUAAAAGCUACUUUCGCAUGAAAGAAGUUUAAAAGGCGGCGUAAGCUGUCGCUAAAGGAUGGACCUGCGAUGCAUUAGCUAGUUGGUAAGGUAACAGCUUACCAAGGCGAUGAUGCAUAGCCGAGUUGAGAGACUGAUCGGCCACAUUGGGACUGAGACACGGCCCAA
rnacentral:rRNA from 1 species